AUGAGCGCUAUGAUUCUUGUAUUACUGACAGUUAUUGUUCAUGCACCAAACACCGACAUCAACGUAGUCUUAACAUGAAGAGACAUAUCAAUCGGUGAAUACAAAUAAUGACGGGGAAUGAGCGCUAUGAUUCUUGUAUUACUGACAGUUAUUGUCCAUGCACCAAACACCGACAUCAACAUAGUCUUAACAUGAAGAGGUACAUAUCAAUCGGUGAAUACAACUAAUGACGGGGAAUGAGCUAUAUCAUCUUUCAGUUGAUUCACUCCUCUAUAUAUAGUGGGAGGACUCCAAGGCAAUCCAUACGGUAACAUCAGGAUAGACCAGGG